rnacentral:tRNA from 1 species
GGAGCGGUAGUUCAGUUGGUUAGAAUACCGGCCUGUCACGCCGGGGCUCGCGGGUUCGAGUCCCGUCCACUCCGCCA